rnacentral:miRNA from 1 species
CUGGGGAGAGGGUGUUUACUUU